rnacentral:siRNA from 1 species
ACUGUCCCUGUCUACUAUCCAGC